CCGUUGACUAGGCUAAUCAGUGUACACGUGUAAUUAAAAAUUAUUAUUUCAAAUGAAUUUUACAUUUAUUAAAUGUCUAAGGGUAAAAAAGUCAAAUCACUAUUAAAUAUCAGAUUGCUUUUUUAUUUCUUCUUUAAUCGGCGUCGUCUGUGCCUCCAUCUCCGGUUGGUACUCAAAGUGUUUCUGCCAUUUUUCAAAAUCUUGAACCUCACUCCUCCCAAAUUCUCCUUUUAUAAACAAGAGAACAAAAAAAAUAUCAAUUUAGGAAAGAGAAAAUAAAACCAUUAAAACACAGUGGUAGAUUAUGCAAUUUCUUCAUCAGCUAUAACUUUUUUCACCAAAAAAUAUCAAAAACAAACAAAAUAAAUUAAAAAUGCAUGCAAAAAUAAUUUCAGAGGUAACAAGCCUCGCCCUUUCGAUGACCAGCAGAAAAAAUAAAACUAAUUAUCUCUCUCGGGAGGAGUAAUAAUUAGAUCUAAGCAGCUGUAACAAGGUUGACUCCUCGCUUCUGUAGUAUUUUACGUGACCAACAUUACAAGCAAAGGCAGGCAAAGGGCAAACGUUCAACAGAAAGAACUUUGACACAAAUAAGGUCGGCUACUUGGAAAUGGUUUCAGAUCUGUAAGUUAAUUCAUUCAAAAAAAAUUCAAAAUAGUUUGAAACUUUUAGAUUAAAAGUUAUAUACUCCCUCUAUUAUAUACUCCCUCCGUUGGCUGCCACUCCCGUGAAUCGUCAUCUACCCGAUUUUCUGGUUCGCUUAAGCCUGGAUCACGUAAGAUUUAGCUAAACAGCGCCAGAUCUGAUGGACGAAAAGGCGGCAGGAGGAAGAAAGCCGACGUGAUUGAAGAAGAAAGGGGUUCUUGAUGAUGUGGAGAAGCAGAAAAGGCUUCCUCGUCACUGCUAUAUUCUGGCAUUUGUUGUGGGUUUCUUCAUUUGAUCAUUGGUUUGGAUCUAGAUUUAUAUUUGAUUUCUAUUGAAAGUUUUUUUUUUUUUUUUUUAUCCGUGAUGAAUGCUUAAUCAUUUGAAAUGUGUAGUUUUAAUGUUUAAUAUAAAGUGUUUUGUAUGGGGUGUUACCAUUUUACCUUCUAUUAUAUCAAAUUUAUUUAAUCAAUGAUUAAAAAACUAUUUUUUA
rnacentral:lncRNA from 1 species